rnacentral:misc_RNA from 1 species
AACGCACAUUGCGCCCCUUGGUAUUCCAUGGGGCAUGCCUGUUCGAGCGUCAUUUGUACCCUCAAGCUUUGCUUGGUGUUGGGCGUCUUGUCUCCCUUUUAGGAGACUCGCCUCAAAACAAUUGACAGCCGGCAUAUUGGUAUCGGAGCGCAGCACAAGUCGCGCUUCUUUCCAUGAAUGUCAGCAUCCAUCAAGACCAUUUUUCACUCUUGGCCUCGGAUCAGGUAGGGAUACCCGCUGAACUUAA